AGUGAACGCUGGCGGCAGGCCUAACACAUGCAAGUCGAGCGGCAGCGCGGGGGCAACCCUGGCGGCGAGCGGCGGACGGGUGAGGAAUUCGUCGGAAUCUGCCUUUUUGUGGGGGAUAACGUAGGGAAACUUACGCUAAUACCGCAUACGUCCUACGGGGGAAAGUGGGGGACCGCAAGGCCUCACGCAGAAAGAUGAGCCGACGACCGAUUAGCUAGUUGGUGGGGUAAAGGCCCACCAAGGCGACGAUCGGUAGCUGGUCUGAGAGGAUGAUCAGCCACACUGGGACUGAGACACGGCCCAGACUCCUACGGGAGGCAGCAGUGGGGAAUAUUGGACAAUGGGCGCAAGCCUGAUCCAGCCAUGCCGCGUGUGUGAAGAAGGCCUUCGGGUUGUAAAGCACUUUUGUCCGGAAAGAAAUCCCUGGAGCUAAUACCUUCGGGGGAUGACGGUACCGGAAGAAUAAGCACCGGCUAACUUCGUG
rnacentral:rRNA from 1 species